rnacentral:rRNA from 1 species
AUUGAACGCUGGCGGCGUGCCUAACACAUGCAAGUCGAGCGGUAACAGGUGUAGCAAUACAUGCUGACGAGCGGCGGACGGGUGAGUAACGCUUGGGAAUCUACCCAAUAGUGGGGAAUAACCAGUCGAAAGAUUGGCUAAUUCCGCAUACGCCUCCUCUUCAUAUCGAAGAGGAGGGAAAGCGGGGGACCGUAAGGCCUCGCGCCACUGGAUGAGCCCAAGUCGGAUUAGCUAGUUGGUAGGGUAACGGCCUACCAAGGCGACAAUCCGUAGCUGGUCUGAGAGGCCGACCAGCCACACUGGGACUGAGACACGGCCCAGGCUCCUACGGGAGGCAGCAGUGGGGAAUAUUGGACAAUGGGGGCAACCCUGAUCCAGCGACGCCGCGUGUGUGAAGAAGGCCUGCGGGUUGUAAAGCACUUUUAGUGGGGAUGAAAAGCUCUGGGAUAACACCCCGGGGUCUUGACCUAACCCACAGAAAAAGCACCGGCUAACUCUGUGCCAGCCGCCGCCGUAACAC